AGAGUUUGAUCAUGGCUCAGGAUGAACGCUGGCGGCGUGCUUAACACAUGCAAGUCGAACGGAGCGAUGACACGGAGUCUUCGGACGAAGUGUUAUGGCUUAGUGGCGGACGGGUGAGUAACACGUGAGCAACCUACCUUUUGCAGGGGAAUAACUCUGGGAAACCAGGGCUAAUACCGCAUGACGUGCACGGAAGGCAUCUUUUGUGCAUGAAAGGAUUAUAUCCGGCAGAAGAUGGGCUCGCGUCCGAUUAGGUAGUUGGUGUGGUAAUGGCUCACCAAGCCGACGAUCGGUAGCCGGACUGAGAGGUCGAUCGGCCACAUUGGGACUGAGACACGGCCCAGACUCCUACGGGAGGCAGCAGUGGGGAAUAUUGGGCAAUGGGCGGAAGCCUGACCCAGCGACGCCGCGUGAAGGAGGAAGGCUUUCGAGUUGUAAACUUCUUUGGGGAGGGACGAAGAUGACGGUACCUCCAGAACAAGCCACGGCUAACUACGUGCCAGCAGCCGCGGUAAUACGUAGGUGGCGAGCGUUAUCCGGAUUUACUGGGUGUAAAGGGCGCGCAGGCGGCCCUGGAAGUCAGAUGUGAAAGAUCAAGGCUUAACUUUGACAGGUCAUCUGAAACUUUGGGGCUUGAGUAUCAGAGGGGAAAGUGGAAUUCCUAGUGGAGCGGUAAAAUGCACAGAGAUUAGGAGGAACACCGGUGGCGAAGGCGACUUUCUGGCUGACAACUGACGCUGAGGCGCGAAAGCGUGGGGAGCAAACAGGAUUAGAUACCCUGGUAGUCCACGCCGUAAACGAUGAUUACUGGGUGUAGGGAGUAUCGACUCUCUCUGUGCCGAAGCAAACGCGAUAAGUAAUCCACCUGGGGAGUACGGCCGCAAGGCUAAAACUCAAAGGAAUUGACGG
rnacentral:rRNA from 1 species